AUACCUUUCUCGGCCUUUUGGCUAAGAUCAAGUGUAGUAUCUGUUCUUAUCAGUUUAAUAUCUGAUACGUGGGCCAAUGGUCCACAACGAUAUUAAAUUUAUUUUUUAAGGGGGAAGUCCCAUCACAGUCUUCAAGCAUCGCCUAUGUGUUGCACUACUGCACAGGCUUGGUGCACCCCAC
rnacentral:snRNA from 1 species